CCUCCUCGCACUCCACCCUCCACAGGGCCUAGACAGGGCCUCCCCCCAGCUGCCAGCUUGCAAGUUCCUCCCACACUGGGGUCUGUGGUGGUUGCUCCAGGGGUGGGACGUCCAGGAGCCACUGGGGCUCGGGGCUGCCCAGCUUUGCUGAGAGUCCCGGGAACCAGCAGAGGCCCCUCGGCCCCAGUGCUGGGAUCUGCAGAGGAGAGGAAGAGGAGGACAAAAAAGCAGGUUGGGACAGUGGUCAGCAAAGACAGGAUAAGAGGCUCUGUCGACGUGCCGUUCACCGCGCUUCAGGGUUGUCCUCUUACAGGCCCCCUGGCGGGUCUUGGUCAGUCCAGAGGGCCAGGCCGGCCACCCACCUGCCUCCAGGGGACAGGGUGUGGGGGAGCCGCUGACCACAGCUGCCCAGGAGCCCUGCCUCGGACCGAGUCCUCAUGAGAAUGCUGACAGAGCAGGGACCCUCACCCGCAGGGGAGCAGGGCUCUAGCAAGUGGAGUAUUUUGGAUUUAGCCUCCUGGAGGUACUGAACUUCUUGCUAAACUUUAUGGCCCCCUACAUCUCGCCUACAUUUUUCUAAGGACCGAGUUUUUUCUGGUCUGAUCAUGAAAAUAUAAGAGGUCUUUUGUAAAAAUGUAAGAUAAAUCGGGGCAGUAAAGAAAAUAAAUAUCACCUGUCGCCCUUACUGCACAGAAAUAACAACUGCUCUGAAACGUGGUGAAUAAUAACGCGGGUCUUUUUACACACACGAGGUUUUGGCAGCAUGCUGCUUUUCUCAUUUACUAUUUUAUAUUUCACGAAUCCUUUCCUGUUAAGUACUUUUUAAAGACACCACCGAAGUGUCUUCGUUCGGAGCACACAGAGGUCUUUCGGCUCGGGCCCUGCAGGCCCUGGCGGCGCCGCCGGAAAGCCCGUCUUCUCCGGGGAUGUGAGGGGCGCGGGCCGAGGCUGACGUGGCGGGAGAGCCCCAGCGCGCGGCCGCGUGCACUGUAAACAGUUAAUAGCCCAUCUCUCGCUCUGAGGAGCUCCUCCCCGCGAUGAUGCAGGGUGGAAUAAAAACCCUGAUUAGUUUAGAUCUUCCCCGAGCCCCGGGAGGCGCCCGGGACGCCCUCGCGCGCGCAGGCUCUCGCGGCUGCGGGGCCUCCAGCUCUGGCGCCGCAGAUCCGGCGUCUCGGACGGGAAGCCGCGUCUCCUCUCACUCCCGCGGAGACGAACCCGCUUCCUGCUCGCACGCACACCCGUGGGCUGCUUUCCUUUAGGAGGACGAAGCGGAACAGGUCGGGUUGUCACGGGAAGAAAAUGGAUCUGGACUAAUUCAUGGCACGUGGACACCCACGCGUCCAGAGGGACCGCAGGUCAGAGGUCAGAGGGCUCUGUGUUAUGCAUGAAGCCUGGCCCCUCGCACCGAUGAAUAAGUGUGAGCGAUUUGCUUCCGAAGCCAGAGAGCUAAAGAAGAUGGUGGAGGAGUAAGACGGGGAGAUCGCUUGCCUUCUCACAAACACAUCAAAAACUCAUCAAAACAUGAAACAGCUCCUACAGAGCAGCUUCUACACAACAGCAGAAGACCCCGGGCUUCUAAAAAGAAGCAGCAGCAUGUGGGACUCUCAGGCCCUCCCCGGUACCAGCUACACGAACGACCGGGUUCCUGAAUCGACUCUGGAUGAGUUUUCCUCUUCUGCGAACUGGAGAUGAUAGUAACACGUCCAUCAUAGGGUUGUUGGAGAGAUCAGAUGAGAUAAUUU
ensembl:lncRNA